rnacentral:rRNA from 1 species
AUGUCUUUGCAUAUGACUAGGGAAUGGAACAUCCUGAAUUGGAAUAUCAGGGGUAUCAAUGAUCCAAAGAAGUGGCAAGCUAUCACUAAUAAGAUUGACGAGUCUCAAUGCUCAAUUCUCUGCUUACAGGAAACCAAAAGAGAACACUUUGACAGUGCUUACAUUAAAAAUUUCUGUCCAAGGAGGCUAUCUAAAUUUCAAUUCCUCCCCUCCAUAGGGGCUUCAGGUGGCUUGCUAGUUGCAUGGAAUGAACAUUCUUUUCAUGGUCAACUUAUUGAUAGCAAUGAUUACUCUAUUUCUAUUCAAUUCACCUCCACUCAUAAUGGAGAGCAAUGGAUUCUCACUAAUUUAUAUGGGCCGUGCCCCCAGGCUGAAAAAGUACAGUUUCUCAACUGGUUCCAGAAUAUCCAAAUGCCUGACGACACUAAUUGA